rnacentral:rRNA from 1 species
UACAGAGGGUGCGAGCGUUAAUCGGAAUUACUGGGCGUAAAGCGCGCGUAGGCGGCUUUGCAAGUCGGGUGUGAAAUCCCCAGGCUUAACCUGGGAACUGCAUUCGAGACUGCAUUGGCUAGAGUAUGGGAGAGGGAAGUGGAAUUCCGGUGUAGCGGUGAAAUGCGUAGAUAUCGGAAGGAACAUCAGUGGACGAAAGC